UUGGGAGCUCUCCCAUAUGGUCGACCUGCAGGCGGCCGCGAAUUCACUAGUGAUUAGAGUUUGAUCAUGGCUCAGAUUGAACGCUAGCGGAAUGCUUUACACAUGCAAGUCGAACGGCAGCACGGGGGCAACCCUGGUGGCGAGUGGCGAACGGGUGAGUAAUACAUCGGAACGUGCCCAGUCGUGGGGGAUAACGUAGCGAAAGCUACGCUAAUACCGCAUACGAACUCUGGUUGAAAGCGGGGGACUCGCAAGGGCCUCGCGCGAUUGGAGCGGCCGAUGGCAGAUUAGGUAGUUGGUGGGGUAAAGGCUCACCAAGCCGACGAUCUGUAGCUGGUCUGAGAGGACGACCAGCCACACUGGGACUGAGACACGGCCCAGACUCCUACGGGAGGCAGCAGUGGGGAAUUUUGGACAAUGGGCGCAAGCCUGAUCCAGCCAUUCCGCGUGCAGGAUGAAGGCCCUCGGGUUGUAAACUGCUUUUGUACGGAACGAAAAGGCUCUGGUUAAUACCUGGGGCUCAUGACGGUACCGUAAGAAUAAGCACCGGCUAACUACGUGCCAGCAGCCGCGGUAAUACGAAUCGAAUUCCCGCGGCCG
rnacentral:rRNA from 1 species